rnacentral:tRNA from 1 species
AGUUUGAGAAAACAAGUGUUCUAUGACUCAUAAUCUCUUGGUCGCUGGUUCAAGUCCAGCAGGGGCCACCA